CAAGCGGUGGAGCAUGUGGUUUAAUUCGAUGCAACGCGAAGAACCUUACCUGGUCUUGACAUCCACGGAAGUUUUCAGAGAUGAUAAUGUGCCUUCGGGAACCGUGAGACAGGUGCUGCAUGGCUGUCGUCAGCUCGUGUUGUGAAAUGUUGGGUUAAGUCCCGCACCGAGCGCAACCCUUAUCCUUUGUUGCCAGCGGUCCGGCCGGGAACUCAAAGGAGACUGCCAGUGAUAAACUGGAGGAAGGUGGGGAUGACGUCAAGUCAUCAUGGCCCUUACGACCAGGGCUACACACUUGCUACAAUGGCGCAUACCAAGAGAAGCGACCUCGCGAGAGCAAGCGGACCUCAUAAACUGCGUCGUAUUCCGGAUUGGAGUCUGCAACUCUACUCCAUGAAGUCGGAAUCGCUAUUAAUCGUGGAUCAGAAUGCCACGGUGAAUACGUUCCCGGGUCUUGUACACACC
rnacentral:rRNA from 1 species